CUAAGGUAGCAUAAUCAUUUGUUAUUUAAUUGAUAACUGGGAUGAAAGGUUAAACUAGCUUAUUAAGUUUGUUUAAUUAGAGAGAAAUUUAAAGUUAAGGUAAGAAUUCUUUAAUUUUCUAGGGGACGAUAAGACCCUAGAAGCUUGACAAACAGUUUUUUAGUUUUAGGCGGCAGUUUGUUUUACUGGGGCGGUAAAAAUAAUUAAGCUAUUUAUAAUUUAAAGGAUCCUUAAAAUAAAGAAAGAGUGGGUAAGUUACUCUAGGGAUAA
rnacentral:rRNA from 1 species